CUACCCGGGUUUCUAAUCCUGUUUGCUACCCACGCUUUCGGGCAUGAACGUCAGUGCCAUCCCAGGGGGCUGCCUUCGCCAUCGGUAUUCCUCCACAUCUCUACGCAUUUCACUGCUACACGUGGAAUUCUACCCCCCUCUGACACACUCUAGCCACCCAGUUCAGAACGCAAUUCCCAGGUUGAGCCCGGGGAUUUCACAUCCUGCUUAAGUAACCGUCUGCGCCCGCUUUACGCCCAGUAAUUCCGAUUAACGCUCGCACCCUACGUAUUACCGCGGCUGCUGGCAC
rnacentral:rRNA from 1 species